CAUGCAGUCGACGGUAACAGGAAACAGCUUGCUGCUUCGCUGACGAGUGGCGGACGGGUGAGUAAUGUCUGGGAAACUGCCUGAUGGAGGGGGAUAACUACUGGAAACGGUAGCUAAUACCGCAUAACGUCGCAAGACCAAAGAGGGGGACCUUCGGGCCUCUUGCCAUCGGAUGUGCCCAGAUGGGAUUAGCUAGUUGGUGGGGUAACGGCUCACCUAGGCGACGAUCCCUAGCUGGUCUGAGAGGAUGACCAGCCACACUGGAACUGAGACACGGUCCAGACUCCUACGGGAGGCAGCAGUGGGGAAUAUUGCACAAUGGGCGCAAGCCUGAUGCAGCCAUGCCGCGUGUAUGAAGAAGCCUUCGGGUUGUAAAGUACUUUCAGCGGGGAGGAAGGGAGUAAAGUUAA
rnacentral:rRNA from 1 species